AGCGAACGCUGGCGGCAGGCCUAACACAUGCAAGUCGAACGAACUCUUCGGAGUUAGUGGCGGACGGGUGAGUAACACGUGGGAACGUGCCUUUAGGUUCGGAAUAACUCAGGGAAACUUGUGCUAAUACCGAAUGUGCCCUUCGGGGGAAAGAUUUAUCGCCUUUAGAGGGCCCGCGUCUGAUUAGCUAGUUGGUGAGGUAAAGGCUCACCAAGGCGACGAUCAGUAGCUGGUCUGAGAGGAUGAUCAGCCACAUUGGGACUGAGACACGGCCCAAACUCCUACGGGAGGCAGCAGUGGGGAAUCUUGCGCAAUGGGCGAAAGCCUGACGCAGCCAUGCCGCGUGAAUGAUGAAGGUCUUAGGAUUGUAAAAUUCUUUCACCGGGGACGAUAAUGACGGUACCCGGAGAAGAAGCCCCGGCUAACUUCGUG
rnacentral:rRNA from 1 species